rnacentral:rRNA from 1 species
AAUGAACGUUGGCGGCGUGGAUUAGGCAUGCAAGUCGAGCGAGAACCCGCAAGGGGGACAGCGGCAAACGGGGUAGUAAUGUGUCGGAACGUGCCCUCUGGACGGGGAUAGCGGCGGGAAACUGCCGGUAAUACCCGAUGAACUCGAGAGAGCAAAGGUGUGAUUCCGCCGGAGGAGCGGCCGACAUGGUAUUAGCUAGUUGGCGGGGUAACGGCCCACCAAGGCUUUGAUGCCUAGGGGAUGUGAGAGCAUGAUCCCCACCAUUGGGACUGAGACACUGCCCAGACACCUACGGGUGGCUGCAGUCGAGAAUCUUCGUCAAUGGGCGAAAGCCUGAACGAGCGACGCCGCGUGUGGGAUGAAGGCCUUUGGGUUGUAAACCACUGUCGAGGGGGAUGAAGGUCUUCAGGUCCUCCUGAAGAUUUGACAGAGCCCUGGAGGAAGCACGGGCUAAGUUCGUGCCAGCAGCCGCCGUAACAC